GCCUCUUUAGCUCAGUGGUGUAAGGAUUCCCAUUCGACCAUAAUCUCAAAGAGCAAUAACUAACAUUCAAACAGAGAGCGAGAGAUUGCAGUUCAUACAACUAUCUCUAGGUCAUUAGUUCGAUCCUGAUAGGAGGCU